AGUUGGACUUGAGCGGUCGCCAUGCACAGAAGAUCCUCAGUCAUAGUUAACAAAAUGGAAAAAUUAGCUGUGUUUUUAAGAUUCCAGUGGUGGCCAUCAACUGCUCAGGAAAGCAGCCCAGAAUCACUUCACAACAGGUUUCCAAAGGAUCAUCAUUCAUCAGCACAGAAGGGUGGGAAAGAGAAGGCUGUUCAAAUUCUGAAAAGCCAGAGCUGCAAAGGAGGUCAAAGAUGCAGUGCAGUUGACCCACUCAGUAGAGUUUCACUAGUGGUUCUGAUGUGGACUGAAGAUUACACGCUGGAUUGAAGUGGCCGGUCUGGAGCAGCUGUAAUUCAUCAUUCUUGCUGAUUGUGGACGAGUAAGAGCCCGCGUUGGCCCCGAUCGGCGAUCGCUGGCCAAAGCCCACCACCAGUUUGGUGAUAGGCGUUGGCUGUGAUAUCUAGUGUCGCCUAUGUGUGAAAAGGACAAGUUGAUAACAAAACCUGUUGCGCCAUGUUAUUAACCCACGCCCGGGUGGCCCUCAGCCAAUUUGGUGGGGGGGGGAGGUGUAUUCGGCCACACCAGGUUAUCUUGGAAUGUAGCAAAGCUGGAAAGACGCAGUAAAAUCAAUCUAUAGAUCGCUAUUUUUCUUCAGAAUCAUACAGGUCAUUUUUGAUCAGGUCAUCGCUGAGGUCACUGGAGGUCACCAAAAGUAAAAUGAUGACGAAUUUUGGCCCCCGAUUUUGACAACUUCACAAAUUGGUUCAUAAUUCGGGAACGAAAGAAGCUACAGCGCCGCGGAAAAGCGAAUUCGAUAGCUCUUUCGAAAAUCUUUCAGGUUCUCAGAUUUGAGCUAAGGUCAACUAGGGUUAAGCCUCCAAAGGGCAAAAACUGAACAAUCGGCUUGCUUCGGAAGUCGUCUUUUCUUU